rnacentral:tRNA from 2 species
GGCCUCGUAGUAUAAUGGAUAGUAUACAGGUUUCCGGAACCUGCGGUCUAGGUUCGAUCCCUAGCGAGGCUA